GGAAGGACUGUUAAGAUGAAAAAUAAAUAGAUGAACUGGGAAGUCAUUAACAUCAACAAAACUUAUCUUCCUGGCUUCACCAUGUGGUCAACAGUUGGAUGUGCAAGUGGAUACUGGUGAUGAGUGAUGUUCCUCAGGAGUCAAUAUCGGAGCUGACACUAUUUAACUUCUUUGUUGGUGACAUGGACAGUAGGAUUGACUGCACCUUCAGCAAGUUUUCUGAUGACACCAAGCUACAUGUUGUAGUCAAUAUACUGGAGGGAAAAGAUGCCAUACAGAGAAACCUUGAUAGGCUUGAGAGCACUCACUUCUACUCUUUAAAGACGACUGACAGAACAUCAUGCAAAUUUGAGUGUCAGUGACAAGCAGGG
ensembl:lncRNA